rnacentral:lncRNA from 1 species
AGCGCGGCUGCGGCCGGGAGGGGGCCCAGCGGGUUGAGCGCACAAAGCCCGGCGCGGCGGCGCUGCUUCCCAUUCACCGCCGCCGGGCUCCUUCCACCCCGCGCUUCUCCAACGCCUCCGAGGCGGAUCGCCGGCGGCUCGCGGCCAGGCACAGGAAAUGACCUCAGCGGGCUCCAGCCUCCCACCUCUCUGUACCGCGGGACGCUCGCAGGAUGGGGGACACCACCAGAUCCUCCCCUGAAGAAGGUUCCAGCGUUUGUCCGCCACCUGUAAGAAGGUCUGCACAGUGGUAGAAUGGAGAUGUGAAG